GGCACUCGGACUGCUUCCUGCUCGACACUUCACAGCAAAACUCUUAAUCGAGUAUUUAUUCAGUGUGUGUGUGUGUGUGUGUGUGUGUGUGUGUGUGUGUGUGUGUGUGUGUGUGUGUGUGUGUGUUUGAUGGAUUAGAUUGAAUAUACAGCAACAAAGCCUAAGCUGAGUUACUGAGUUCUGCGGCCAACAACACAAACGGAAGGUUUGCAGAGACAGAGGGACUAACUAACGCUACAAAACAGGAGUGUUUACUCUACGUGAUGCAUGUAUGGAACAAGUUCGGUCAGGACAGGGCUGCUUAAACCUACACGGUUGCACAAAUCACACAACAAGUUACCCUGAGGGUUCAGUUCCAGACUCUUAUUUUGAAGACCAAGUGGUACGACUUCCUUUAAACCCCCCUCUCCCUCCCACCUCUGUCGAGCUCAACACUUGGCACAGACAGGACGGAGCUGUGAUUGGAGAAGAUGGGGAGGCAGAGGCUAACCCCAACAGCUGAUCUGAGUCUCAGAUCAACACAGCCCUGCCCUCCAGCACUAUCAGCAGCAGCAGCAACCCCUCAACAGCAACAUUGUACCCAUCAGGUAAAACAUCGGCUACGUUUGCUUUGCCUUGUCGCCACCUCACAACAGUGAUAUAGUAUGAUGC